rnacentral:lncRNA from 1 species
AAGGUUAAAGGUCAGGCAGGGGUCACCCAGACAGGAGUCUCCAGGUGUGGCCCCGCCCCCAUCCAGGUGUGUCCCAGGUGUGUCCCCAAUGCCCCAGGUGUGUUUGGGUGUGUCCCAGGUGUGUCACACUCACCUUGCAGGUGUCCCCGCCCCCACCCAGGUGUGUCCCCAAUGUCCCCAGGUGUCACCCAGGUGUGUUCAGGUGUGUCCCCGAUGUCCCCAGGUGUGCACAGGUGUCACCAGGUGUGUCCCAGGUGUGUCCCAGCUGCACCCAGGUGUGCACAGGUGUGUCCCCAAUGUCACCAGGUGUGCCCAAGUGUAACUCAGGUGUACCCAGGUGUGUCCCCAAUGUCCCCAGGUGUCACCCAGGUGUGUUUGGGUGUGUUCAGGUGUGUCCCAGGUGUGUUUGGGUGUGUCUCAGGUGUGUUUGGGUGUGUCCCACACUCACCUUGCAGGUGUCCCCGCCCCCGCCCAGGUGUCCGGCACACACCAUGGCCCAUCCCAGCUGUACCCAGCUGUACCCAGGUGUAUCCCAGGUGUAACUCAGGUAUAUCCCAGGUGUGUUUGGGUGUGUCCCAGGUGUACCCAGGUGUGUUUGGGUGUGUCCCAGGUGUAUCAGUCUCACCUUGCAGGUGUCCCCGCCCCCGCCCAGGUGUCCGGCACACACCAUGGCCCAUCCCAGCUGUACCC